CGGGACUUCCACGUGUUCGCGGCAAUUUUAACUCCCGAACAGCGGUGUUUGCCGAUGAAUGUCUGGAACUAAAAUCGGACACUCAAACAGGCGAACACCGCUGAGACCUCCAUACCUUCGGGAAAAUAUCACCAAAUCUACCGAACCCAGGAUGGUAUACGGAUGGCCGGCCGUUCGGGAGUUUUUACCCACGUUCUUAGACCGACUGCAGGGCCAGCAUUCAUGGAACUGUUUUCGGCUACUGUACCCGUGCGGUCGGUCAAAACUUCUAAGUCCUAUAUCUCCCG